UAGAGUUUGAUCCUGGCUCAGGAUGAACGCUGGCGGCGUGCCUAAUACAUGCAAGUCGAGCGAUGAGGCUCCUUCGGGAGUACAUCAGCGGCGAACGGGUGAGUAACACGUGGGUGACUUGCCCCGAAGAUGGGGAUAACCUCUGGAAACGGGGGCUAAUACCCAAUGUGCUCGGUGAUUCGGUUCAUCGAGUAAAGCUCCGGCGCUUCGGGAGAGGCCUGCGGCCCAUCAGCUAGUUGGUAGGGUAACGGCCUACCAAGGCAGAGACGGGUAGGGGGCGUGAGAGCGCGGACCCCCACACUGGCACUGAGAUACGGGCCAGACUCCUACGGGAGGCAGCAGUAAGGGAUAUUGCGCAAUGGACGAAAGUCAGACGCAGCGACGCCGCGUGGGCGAUGAAGGCCUUCGGGUUGUAAAGCCCUUUUAUGGGGGAAGAGAAAAAGGACGGUACCCCAGGAAUAAGUCCCGGCUAACUACGUGCCAGCAGCCGCGGUAAAACGUAGGGGACAAGCGUUAUCCGGAUUCACUGGGCGUAAAGAGCGUUGAGGCGGUUCCGUAAGUUGGGCGUGAAAGCUCCGGGCUUAACUCGGAGAUGUCGUUCAAUACUGCGGGGCUUGAGGACAGCAGAGGAAGGUGGAAUUCCCGGUGUAGUGGUGAAAUGCGUAGAUAUCGGGAGGAACACCCGUGGCGAAGGCGGCCUUCUGGGCUGUUCCUGACGCUGAAGGCGAAAGCUAGGGGAGCGAACGGGAUUAGAUACCCCGGUAGUCCUAGCUGUAAACGAUGGAUGCUGGGUGUGGGGGGUGUAAAUUCCCUCUGUGCCGAAGCAAACGCGUUAAGCAUCCCGCCUGGGGACU
rnacentral:rRNA from 1 species